UACGGGGGGGGUAAGCGUUGUUCGGAAUUACUGGGCGUAAAGGGCUCGUAGGCGGCCAACUAAGUCAGACGUGAAAUCCCUCAGCUUAACUGGGGAACUGCGUCUGAUACUGGAUGGCUUGGAUUCGGGAGAGGAAUGCGGAAUUCCAGGUGUAGCGGUGAAAUGCGUAGAUAUCUGGAGGAACACCGGUGGCGAAGGCGGCAUUCUGGACCGAUAUUGACGCUGAGGAGCGAAAGCCAGGGGAGCAAAUGGG
rnacentral:rRNA from 1 species